CACCUUUAUCUCUUCUUUGACUUUCUCAAAGAAAGAAGACUCAAGAAGCUCUUUUGCUCCCAUUUCCCACGGAUCAAUGCAAAUCAGAAAUUUGCACCUCACUUUUCUCUCUUUUGUCUUAAGGAAAGUGCUAGGAAGCUCCCUUGAGUCUUCCCUCAAGUCCACCGGUUCACACACCAAAAGAAAGCUCAUUUCUUCUUCAUAUUCUCUCAAAGGAACCAGAAAACUCUCUCUAGCUCUCUACCAUUCUUCCAUGAGUGGUUCUAUGUCUACUUUUCCCCUCAAGAAACAUAAACUUGGUGUUACCAGUAUCCAAGUCUAAGCUCCUUCGACUUUAGGCUCUCGGUUCCUCUACUUUCAGGCAAGGAAUAAGUUAUAUGAGCAUUUGUUAGCAGGUUUUAUUUUGGAGCAAAGGGAGCCUUAGUCGAGUUUUGAAAGGAGCUGGUUUUAGUUUGAUAUGUAUAGAUCCUAAAUUAGCAUUCUGACGUUUAGCUUUAUAGUUAUUGUGUAUCUUAGGAUCAAAUGAAAGUUGUGUAUACCUUAAAGUAUCAAGCUAUGUAUUAUGUAAAAGUGUGGAAAUUAAAUGAUUGGUGGAUUAUGUUAUUCUUUGGAGUACAA